rnacentral:rRNA from 1 species
GCCUCGGUGGUUGAUUCUUGCGUGUUAUAAUUUGGAUUGGAUACUGUGACAUUCUAGUGGUUUAUAGUUGAGCUUAUUUCAUAUUAGUUUAGAUUUCUGUUNUGUUUUUAUGUAAUGUGUAUUGUUUGUGUAGUGUUGUUCGCUAUGCUCUAUGUAAGUGUAGUCUUGGUGUUUGUAUCUUAUGUGUUGGUUUGAUGUUUGUUUAUGCAGUAUUCUUAUGAUGAUAUAUAUGAUUGUGUUUGUGUGUUAUAGUUGUCAUUUUUUGUUGUAAUGUUUUUUUUGGUAUAUGUGUUAAUAUGUGAGGUGUACAAUAUGUUUUAUGUUUUGUAUGAUUCACGCGUGGUUGUGUUGUUGCUCUCACUCGUAGCUGGUGUUUGUUGGUCUGGCUUGCUUAUUCAGUUUGGUAGUUUUCGGUGCUCAUUAAUGUUAAUACUAAAGAGGUGUUGUUGUGUUGCUCGAAUAUCUGGUCGCUGUAGUCGCUCUCCCAAAUAUUUUGUGUUUAUUAAAACCCGCGGUGGGGUUGAUCUUUCCNCGGACAGAAUUCUNUCAAUGAUGCCUUUCCCNGUAGGUGGAAUCUUACGGAUAGGAAUCUAUUAC